CGAUAGAAUCUUGAGGUACGUGUUUAUAAGUUUCGCGGACGAAACUUCUUUUUAGGAGGGGUGAAUGUAAUACACUGAAUUUUUGCAAAUUGCGAAAUUCGAGUGUGAGGAAUGAUGUGUGGAACUCUUCUACAUGUUCUAUAGGACUUGGACAAGUUUUUGGAUAAGUUAGAGGAUGAUUGGAAUGCUAAAAGUAAGAAAUUGCAUUGAACUGGCGAAAUCAGCCUUUUUCUGCUUGUUGUACCGGUACAGCCAUUACCUUGUACCGGUACAGACUGGCAGAAACCUGGCAGCAAGGCUAUUUU
rnacentral:lncRNA from 1 species